rnacentral:rRNA from 1 species
UACAGAGGUCUCAAGCGUUGUUCGGAUUCAUUGGGCGUAAAGGGUGCGUAGGCGGCGCGGUAAGUCGGGUGUGAAAUCUCGGAGCUUAACUCCGAAACUGCAUUCGAUACUGCCGUGCUUGAGGACUGGAGAGGAGACUGGAAUUUACGAUGUAGCGGUGAAAUGCGUAGAUAUCGUAGGGAAGACCAGUGGCGAAGGCGGGUCUCUGGACAGUUCCUGACGCUGAGGCACGAAGGUCAGGGGAGCAAACGGG